GACGAACGCUGGCGGCGUGCCUAAUACAUGCAAGUAGAACGCACAGUUUAUACCGUAGCUUGCUACACCAUAAACUGUGAGUUGCGAACGGGUGAGUAACGCGUAGGUAACCUGCCUGGUAGCGGGGGAUAACUAUUGGAAACGAUAGCUAAUACCGCAUAAUAUUGAUUAUUGCAUGAUAAUUGAUUGAAAGAUGCUAUUGCAUCACUACCAGAUGGACCUGCGUUGUAUUAGCUAGUAGGUGAGGUAACGGCUCACCUAGGCGACGAUACAUAGCCGACCUGAGAGGGUGAUCGGCCACACUGGGACUGAGACACGGCCCAGACUCCUACGGGAGGCAGCAGUAGGGAAUCUUCGGCAAUGGACGAAAGUCUGACCGAGCAACGCCGCGUGAGUGAAGAAGGUUUUCGGAUCGUAAAGCUCUGUUGUAAGAGAAGAACGGGUGUGAGAGUGGAAAGUUCACAAUGUGACGGUAGCUUACCAGAAAGGGACGGCUAACUACGUG
rnacentral:rRNA from 1 species